AUUACACUUGUUACGAUAUUAAUAUACUCGUAGACGAACUCGCGACGAAGUCAAGAGAUUUGUCUAUUUCGAUAAUAAAUACGAAAGUUGUUCACAGGUUUUAAAGUUUGUGGAUGUAUCAUAAAGCAAGUUACUCCCCGGAAAGUAACUUGGAAAAUUAAAUGCAAUUUUCGUACAGUCGAUAGGUCUGAACCGAGAGGAAAUUCCGGUGCUGUUGCCAAACUUUCGUCCACUUGGAAGUUGGUAUAUGUUGUAGGUAAUAAUUUAAAUAUAAUAAAGGAAAAGGGAAGGGAUACCGUAUGGAGUACGAGCAUCCAGGAGUACCCUCUUUGCUCGAUGCCACGAGACACCCUGAAACAAAUUCAAUCUGCGAAAGUAGUCGUGCUAACGUUAACACCAACAAAGAAAUACGUCUUGUAGCGGUAUCUUCGGUAACAAAUGCGGUAAUAAGGGGUGCUAUAAAAGAAACAAUGCAGUAGCCAGAAGGACUAAUAAAAUUCGAUCUUCUUCCGCUCUAUAUAAACCAGAUCAACAAACCGUGAGUGGAAUGGAAUAUUCUUCUUGUUUCGCGACGCUAAUUUCCUACUAAUAUUUAUAAAACAGAAAAUGCUCAAAAUCAAACGCGAAAAAGUGUUCCGUUGCAUCUGCAAUAUCAAUUAAUCUAUCAUUUACAAGAAAAAAAAAAAAAAAA
rnacentral:misc_RNA from 1 species